CAGGCCACCUAGGAAUACUGAAGUGAGGUUACAAAUCUGAGGCCAGCACAAGAAGUUGAUGGAAAACUCACGCAGGUGUGGUUUCCUGAUUCGAGAGAGGUCUGGCCCCAACUCUGAAAAGCAUUUAAUGUUAACUGACCAACUUGUAAAAAUUGUGGGUUUGGGAAGCAAAAGGUUUCAUUUUAAUUCAGUUCUAUCUAAAACUAAUAGGCCACUGAUCUGCCAAAAAUGAAUAUUCCAUUUCCAGGGAUCCCUCCCACAGUAUCUAGAAGUAUUAAUCAUAUACGGUAACAGAUGAUCAACAAGUUUGUAAAUAAUCUUAUUAACGUCCUGGGGCGCCUGGGUGGCUCAGUCAGUUAAGUGGCCGACUCCUGAUUUCAGCUCAGGUCAUGAUCUCACAGUUCAUGAGUUCCAACCCCACCUUGGGCUCUGCACUGACAGCAUGGAGCCUGCUUGGGAUUUUCUCUCUCAGCCCCUCCCCCACUCAUACUCUCUCUGUCUCUCAAAAUAAAUAAAUAAAUAAACUUAAAAAAAAUCUUAUCAAAGUCCUUUACUUUAUAAAAGGCAAAAAGUUUUCUAAAGCUAUCUCUGUACUUUUUCAAUGGUUGGAUUUUGUUGUUAAGGCUUCAAAAAGAAACACAAUUUAGGUCUUUAUUAUAAAGGAAAUGUAUGUUCCAUAUUUCACUAGAAUUACAUUCUAACGGUUAUUUGCAGUCAUAGCCUACAUGGAAUUUUUCUUGGGUGCUUUUUAUGUUUUGGGUUAUAGGAGGCCCCCUCCCCCACCACCAAUGUAUGGCCAAUCUCUGAACAAAUAUUUAACAUUCUUAUGUAAAGUUUUUUUUUUUAAGCUAUUUUAUCCAUCUACAUCAUAGGGCUAAAUAUCAAGUAAGUCAUGUAAGCCAGUAUUCCUGUCUUAUGAAUGGAUUUUUUAGCCAGGUAGUCUGGGUGAAUUUGCACAGUUAAUAGUGAAAUACUGUAUUACAAUAGCCAAACUAUGGAAACAACCCAAGUGUCCAUCAAUGGAUGAAUGGAUAAAGAAGAUGUGGCAUAUAUAUAUAUAUAUAUAUAUAUAUAUAUAUAUAGGAAUAUUACUCAACCAUAGAAAGAAAGAGAUCUUGCCAUUUGUAACAACAUGGAUGCAUCUAGAGGCUAUAAUGCUAAGUGAACUAAGUCAGAGAAAGACAAGACAAAUACCAUAUUAGUUCUCCCAUCUGUGGAAGAAAAAAAAAAAAAAAAGAAAAGAAAAAACAAACCAAAAUCAGACUCUUAAACACGGAGAACAAACUGAUGGUCACCAGAGGGGAGCUGAGUGAGGGAUGGAUGAAAUAGAUAAAGGGAAUGAAAACUAUGCUGAAUAACGUGCAGAAUUGUUGAAUCACGAUAUUGGACACCUGAAACUAAUAUAGCACUAUUUGUCAAUUACACGUCAAUUAAAAGAAACAGGGUGUCAUGAGGACCAGUCCGUUUUGGGGUUGUGAGCAGAUGCCAUUCUCAGGCCCUUGUAGGCCAGCCCAGGCCCAGCUUAAGUUUCACUCCCCCAUGGGUCAGCAACCACUGACCCAACAAUUCUAUGUGCCGUGGCCACGGAGAUCUGUUUUCUCCAUGAGAUUCUUCCGAUCUUUUGUUCGUUCCCUCACAGCACACCUACUGAGGGCACACUAAUCUGAAAAGUAACUCAAGCAGAGAAAUAGUGCACACAACAACCACAUUCUAACCUGGGGUUUUCUGGACGCGAUGUUUUAACCCCCCAGAGAGGCCGAGGAUCGGGGUCUCAUGGAUUAAAACAGGACUGUCAGCUUCAAAGGGAAGUCCACGGGCACCGUCAUUGUUUGGGCAUUUUUUCCCUCCCUUGUUUCUGAUAGUUUCUUUGGAAGCCAGAAAAUGGCCACUUCUCAUUUCUCAUGGAAUUGACGUGUCCAGUUUUUAGCAGGAGCUGAAACGAACCAGAAGGUAUUUACCCAUCAGCAGUUGUCUGCGUGUAUCUGAGACACUGCUCCAUGAGAUGCUGACUUACGUGGGGACAUCAUGAGAGAGAGUCGCUCAGAGCUAAACAAUAACCUCUUACCAUUCACCCCACCAGGUAUCCAACACAGGAUGCUACGCACCUCCACUGCAUCCAAACUUUUGACAGAUGUUAAUUAUCGGGAUUCAAGAAUGAGGAAACGGAAGUUCUGAGAAUCCUCGGGGAUUCCAGAAUUCUUGUUAUUCCGUAAGUUUCGUAACACAUUUCUUAGAUGCUUUUGAAAAAUAAGUAGCCAUACUAAUAAGCAGAGAAUCUGUUAUUUCCAUAGCAGGAUGUUUCUAGAACAGGAUUAUAUGAAAGGCUUCUAUGGUCUUCCUUUUUAAAAAACAUAUAAUGACAAGUACAUGCUUAUUAUUACUAUGAGCCAAUACAUUGUGGCAAGAUUAUAAAACCCAAUAACAUAAAAAUGAUUUCUACCUAAUACAAGUGCAGGGUAAUAGAAAACAUUCAAAAGAAAUGAACAUUAAUACAAAAUAAAUGUUGGGGCACCUGGGUGGCUCAGUCAGUUAAGCAUCCGACUUCAGCUCAGGUCAUGAUCUCACAGUUCGUGAGUUCGAGCUCUGUGUCAGGUUCUGCGCUGACAGCUCGGAGCCUGGAGCCUGCUUUGGAUUCUGUGUCUCCCUCUCUCUCUCUCUCUCAAAAUAAAUAAAUAAGCUUUAAAAAAAGUAUUGUGCCUAUAAACUUUUUAACGCUUCUUAGCAAGACUGACUCGUAUCAACAGGGCCCUGAACGCCCACUUACAGCAGCAAAUACAAAAAGCCCCAUGGCUCCCGUCCUGGGUCCCAGAAACAUCAACCUGGACCCUCGACUCCAUGGGUCAGUGCGUCCUGCUCUUGCUUUCGACUUGAGCCAGUGGAUUUCUUCAAACCAGUAAGGUCUCUACAUGGAUACUGAGCUUUAAUUCUCAUGGGAGAAUCAUAACACUUCUCCCAAUUUUCCUGAUUUCUCAGCUGAUUUUUCUCAGAAUCCAGAAUUUGGGAGUCCAUAUAAAUGUCCCAAGAAACACCAGAUGGGAAUUCCCACGUGGGAACCCUCUCCCUUUGUCGCUUCAGAAACAAUGAUCAACAAACACAGAGCUCUCCUUCUCAUCUCCACAUUUCCCCUGCUCGCUGAUGGUUCAGGGGCCCAGCUCAAAAUUUCCCCUCCUCUGGGAAUAGCCCCAGGACUGUGAAAUGGGCUCUCAGUGGUUACGAACUUACUACAGAAUUCCGCAUUCCUGGCCCAGGAAAGGAUGUCUGGCCAGCUGGAUUCUCUGUCUCUGGAAUUUGAAUAUUGGAAUCCAGACAUAGAGAGACUGGGGGUCACUGUGGCUUGGCCAUGUUGAUAACGUGCAAGGGUGGGAUUACACUCAUAGCUACCUGUCCCUCGUGUCCCAGGAGCUGGCCUAAACCUCCCCUUUUCUAGUCGCAGGAUAGAUACUUAAGAUGCAUCAACAUCCUUCAUUAAAUCCUCCCAUGGAUGGGGUGCCUGGGUGGCUCAGCCGGUUGGGCGUCCGACUUCGGCUCAGGUCAUGAUCUCGCAGUCCGUGAGUUCGAGCCCCACAUCGGGCUCUGUGCUCACAGCCUGCAGCCUGUUUCAGAUUCUGUGUCUCCCUCUCUCUCUGACCCUCCCCCGUUCAUGCUCUGUCUCUCUCUGUCUCAAAAAUAAAUAAACAUAAAAAAAAUUUUUUUUUAAUAAAAAUAAAAAAAAAUAAAUCCUCCCAUGGUUUAAGCAAGCCAGAACUAGUUUCCAUUGUUUUGAAUCAAAAGACCCUUAGCUAAUAUAUUAUUACGCCCCGGUCCAGUUCCUUUCAUUUUCCAGGAACAGGAGGAAAAAUGCCUUACUGAUUUAAAAAAGAAAGAGACAACACAGGAUGCCAUUUAUGUAGAUUUCGAAACACAAAGGAAUAGUCUGUACAGUUUAUGACAUGCACCUAGGUAGUACGUGCACAGACCCUGAACAGCAUGUGCAUCUACAUCAAGAUCAUGGCUGCCGUGGGGGGCAGGGAAACAUGGGCCAACAGGAGGCACAGGUGGGGACUUGAGCAGCUAUGGAAAAGCUUGAUUUCCAAGGGACAGUCAAGACCCAGUUUGCCGGAGGCCACUGAGUUUACAUUUGUUUACCCCGGUCUGAUCUUCAAUUCUCUCUCACAACAACCCCAGUGUGGAUGCAAAGUUCCAUGGCCACCCCUCAGGAACAUUUUUUUUUUUUGAUGUUUAUUUAUUUUUGAGAGAGACAGAGAUCUCGUGGGCGGGGUUGGAACAGAGAGAGAGGGAGACACAGAAUCUGAAGCAGGCUCCAGGCUCAGAGCUGUCAGCACAGAGCCCGACGCGGGGCUCGAACUCACGAACCUCGAGAUCAUGACCUGAGCCGAAGUUGGACGCUCAACCGGCUGAGCCACCCAGGUGCCCCCCACUUGAGAACAUUUUAAAUAAUUAUAGAAGAAGACUUCUAUUUUCCCUUUUGUUUGAAGUACUGUAUAACAAAAACACUUUUAAAGUUACUCCCAUAUACAUAAGAUUGCUACCAAACCAUGAAUCCCUCAAGGGCAUCUUCCUCACCCAGUACUCCGCGAGGAUUAAGUCAUUAAAUUCUAGGAAGCCCUCAUCAGCGGCUUACACUAAGUAAGAGAGCCACCAGCAAGGUGCUAUUUUUCUUUAUUUUAAUCAAAUUCCUGGUAACUUAUUUAGGGAUGUUUUAAUAUUUUGCACAUUCACAUGGUUCAAAAUGCCGAAAGUCAAGAAAGGUAUACGAUGAGGAGUUUUCCAUCUCUGCCCCGGCUUAACUCCCUAGAGGCAAACAACUGUUUCCAGAUUUUUUAAUAUCCCUAAAAAUAUGCUAUAUGCAUGAGAACAAAGACAUUGUGUGUGUGUUGCCCCGUUUGAAGCUCACAGAAACUCCUUCAAAGCCCCUUUGAAAAGAUACCAUUAUCACUCGUGUUUCACAGGAUGAAAUUGAGGUUUGGAAAGAGACUCCCUGGCUUGCUCAAGGUCACACAGCUAGUAAACAGCGAAACUCGGAUUCAAUUCUAACCCCGACGUGUACUGUCCCAGAUACUGGGAAAAGUGGAAGAGGAAUUAAUCUACUAAAUCGAGGGCGUAUUUGAGGAUCUGAAGAAGCAGGCAUUCCCACCUCAGGCUCGCUUGGAAAGUUAAGUUGCCCAAAACUGUCUCCCCUUGUCAUCCGAAAUUCCAGCAUUUCAGAUUUUUACUUAGGAUCUCAGCAUGGUCUGCUCUCAUCCUAGAGCAGGCACCGCCGGGCAGUUAAUUCUCCCACGUGGGAAUCUGAAGGGUUCGAGUUAACCAGGAUCACCCGUGUUAACACCUGCCAGCCUGCACCCUGAGUCCCGGGCCGUCCUGCCUCACCCCCNNCCCCCCCCCCCCCCCCCCCCCCCCCCCCCCCCGCGCCCGUACCUCAAGCCCUCGAUAUGGCAAAGCCUUUAUUUUUUUUUUUUUUAAAUUUUUUUUUUUGAACGUUUAUUUAUUUUUGGGACAGAGAGAGACAGAGCACGAACGGGGGAGAGGCAGAGAGAGAGGGAGACACAGAAUCUGAAACAGGCUCCAGGCUCUGAGCCAUCAGCCCAGAGCCCGACGCGGGGCUCGAACUCCCGGACCGCGAGAUCGUGACCUGGCUGAAGUCGGACGCUCAACCGACUGCGCCACCCAGGCGCCCCUAUGGCAAAGCCUUUAAUGCAGCCACAUCCAAGAAAGUCCCUGGUAUCCACAGGCAAGAAAAGCCAUAUGUGAACUCAGAAACAAUGAGCCAAAUUGUGUUUUUUGUCUAAAAAGGCUGUUAAGAGCUUCAUUCAGGUUAUAUCAGAGCCAAUCCACGGAACCAACAGGAAGCGGGUCCCAACAGAAAUUACAAACGGGGGGAAAAAAGAAGGCAGGCCUUAGGGUGGAGAGCGCGGGUGAUUGUCUCAAUAUGGCCUAAAAUAUUUGCUUCUGAGAUAAAUAUUUGCCUGAUAAUUUGGGUGUUGUUUGUACAACCAGGAAAAGCGGUCAGCAGUUAGGAAAAAAAAAAAAAAAAGAAAGAAAGAAAAAAAACCCGCCGCUUUAGUCUAACUUGAAAAAGCCCACAACCGGUUCCUAAUGAAAACCAUCUGAAUUCCCAGGUUUUCCCACAAGCAACACAUCGCUUGAGCUCUGUGCUCGCCCCAUUCUGUAUGCAGCCCACAGCCUGCCUGCAGGAAACACAGCCUGCCAGGAGAGCGACGUUCCAGCAGACCCCGAUUUAGCAAGGCAUUUUCAGAGCAUACCCCCAACCAGCUGGCGAUCCUCCACUGCUCUUGNAUUUGCCUGAUAAUUUGGGUGUUGUUUGUACAACCAGGAAAAGCGGUCAGCAGUUAGGAAAAAAAAAAAAAAAAAAAAAAAAAAAAAAACCCCGCCGCUUUAGUCUAACUUGAAAAAGCCCACAACCGGUUCCUAAUGAAAACCAUCUGAAUUCCCAGGUUUUCCCACAAGCAACACAUCGCUUGAGCUCUGUGCUCGCCCCAUUCUGUAUGCAGCCCACAGCCUGCCUGCAGGAAACACAGCCUGCCAGGAGAGCGACGUUCCAGCAGACCCCGAUUUAGCAAGGCAUUUUCAGAGCAUACCCCCAACCAGCUGGCGAUCCUCCACUGCUCUUGUGCAAAGAUCUCUAGCUCAUCUCACCGAAUUUCCUGAUUUAAAAGUCUAAUUCAUUUCGCCGAAAGUGCGACAGAAGGCAACGGAGUAGCCAGGCCUCU
rnacentral:lncRNA from 1 species